rnacentral:rRNA from 1 species
AACGAACGCUGGCGGCAGGCCUAACACAUGCAAGUCGAACGCACCGCAAGGUGAGUGGCGCACGGGUGAGUAACACGUGGGAAUGUACCCUUUGGUUCGGAAUAACGUUUGGAAACGAACGCUAAUACCGGAUGAGCCCUGUGGGGGAAAGAUUUAUCGCCAAAGGAGCAGCCCGCGUCUGAUUAGCUAGUUGGUGGGGUAAAGGCCUACCAAGGCGACGAUCAGUAGCUGGUCUGAGAGGAUGAUCAGCCACACUGGGACUGAGACACGGCCCAGACUCCUACGGGAGGCAGCAGUGGGGAAUAUUGGACAAUGGGCGGAAGCCUGAUCCAGCCAUGCCGCGUGAGUGAUGAAGGCCUUCGGGUUGUUAAAGGCUCUUUCGCACGCGACGAUGAUGACGGUAGCGUGAGAAGAAGCCCCGGCUAACUUCGUGCCAGCAGCCGCGGUAAU